AUUUAAUCUUUAGUGUUGUGUUAACAUUGUUCACCUGGGUUUUGGGCAAUAAUGCCUGAAGUAUAUGUGGGCCACAAGGAAUUCAAACUUGGCUUUCAAACUCCAUCACCGAAAGAGCAACAGACCAGAGGCAACACAUUCUAUCACUAAAAUGUGUCUUCAGUUAUUCUUCCCGUCCAAAGGUAAGAAUAAUUGCUCAACUUUUUAGAGACUAAACCCUGUGAGGGCCCGUGUGUCUACACACAUUGAUGGCAGACGUAUGCAAACCAGGAGUGUGCGCAUUUCAACCGCCCCUCUGACUGCCAGCCACGGGCUUGUUGCAAACAUGGUCCCGGUCACCCGAGCAUACCUGUCCGGUUCCGGCCUUGGAGAACGCAAGGGCACCACAGCCAGCCUGCGAACAGCAGCGAGCAAAGAGGAGGGAAGCUGCGGGCUGUCCCGCAGGUGCGGCCCCACCUGGCGCCCGAUUGGCCGCAGCGGCAGCGCUCGGCGGGAGGAGGGCAGAUGAUGGAUGGCCUGUCGGCUGCCUGGGUCCGAGCAGCGGGGCGCCGCGAAUGUAAAUAGGAGCGUGCUCUCGCUGCUCGGUGCUGAGCAGAGAGGGCAAGAUGCCUGCACAAAGGGACCCGGCUUGGAAUGUUUAGAUUUUGAAGAUUGGUUUCUAUUAUAUCUCUGUGGGAGAAAGGAAAACGCACUCUGGGAAAGUGGAGGGAGAAGAGCCCGCAUAAUUUCGGACCAAUGUUUGACAAAUCAUUUCGCCAUCAUAACCAUCCACCAACCUUCUCUUUUCAAAUUACAAAUAGUUUAAAAGUCUUAUUUGUCAUUCACGUGAAUGAUGCCUUUUCCAAGUUUGAGAAACGAUGGGAUAUCAGACCCGAAACCGUUGCAUUUCUUUUUCUCAAACACUAUUAAAAUCACAGAAAAUUGAUUACAGGGAGAUAGGAUGAUACGUUUUAGGUACUCUAUGCAGGAUAAAAAUGACUAUUGGCUAUUAAAUGCUAAUAAAACUUUUCUGAAAAAGAAUACAAUGAAAUAGAAGCAUGUUCUAGAUAUGCAUUUUGCACAUUAUAAAGUGUAACAUUUUCAUAAUUUGUCUGGCUUUUACAUGUUUAAAAGUCAUAAGCAAUUUGUAUAGGUUUUGUUUGUCCUUGCAAAAGAUGACAGCACAUGGUUUUAGGCAAUUCGAUUUUAGAGGUAUCUUUUUUAAAACUCGUUAUGUUGAGAGUAGGGAUUGAAGCAGACAGAUGGAUAGCAGGAGAAAAUAUGUCAUGAACCACCAUAGAAAUGGGACUGGUAGCGAGCUAUUGUAUCACUUGGUCUCUUCUUUGGCAACUGAAGGACAGGUCCAUUCACUGCAAGUAUUUCUCCUGCACCAGCCCCUAUGCUGAAGGUAAUACAUCUCAUGUCAAGGAGAAAGCCAGUCCUGCCUGUAUGUUGAUUCAUUUGCCUCUGAGAGCAAAGUAGUUUAGAGACACCAUUGGAUUUUUUUUUAUAUGAGGAAAAUGUUAUUCUAAUUGUGCUUUAAAGGACCCACCAUCCCCCUCUGCCCUCACCACUGUCGCCACUAAGAAAGUGAAAGUCAUAUUUAAAAUAGCAGUAAGUGAGAUUGAAGCAUGUCACAAAGGUGUGCUUUCUAAAUGUGGUUGAAAAAGAGGAGAGAGGAGAGAGCUUAAGUACAUGCAUUUCUCUUUCAAACACCACAUUUUAAUAAUAUUAUUGUAUGUUUUUAAAAAGAACUCUAAUAAUGCCAUGAGGCCAACAUUGACAGCAUUACACACACACACACACACACACAAAAUACACAAGUAAAUUAAAUUCAUGCAUGUUUCAAUACUUACAAAAAGAGUACACUAGAAUCCUAUGGAUUCCAUAUUGUCAAUAGUGAAUUUUAACAUUAUUAGUGAGUAACCAUAUUGAUAAAUUUUAAUAGCAAGCAUAAUCUCUCUCUCUCUCUCUCUCUCUCUCUCUCUCCAUAUAUAUAUAUAUAUAUAUAUAUAUAUAUACACACAUACACACAUGUGUAUAUAUAUAUAUAUAUAUAUAUAAUUUGCUUAAUGAUUUCUCUUGUGUUGGGUACUUAGGCCAUUUAUAGGUUUUAGCAAAGUAAAUAAUAAAAUAAGGAACAUUUUAAGGUAAAAAUUCUGUAUUUUUUAAAAAUGUAAUGAAUGAGCUGUGCUUUUUAAAACAUUUAGAUAGUUCUUACAAUAGUUUCCCAGCUACUUUACAAAUAAACAAAUAAAAUAAAUAAAGAAAGAAGAAGUAGCAUUCCAUUUUGCCAAUUAAAUAUAUAUAUAUAUAUAUAUAUAUAUAUAUAUAUAUAUAUAGAGAGAGAGAGAGAGAGAGAGAGAGAGAGAGAGAGGGCAUUGAGGUAAAAUUAACAAAUAAAUAUUGGAUACAUUCACACUAUACAACAUACUUUGACAUAGUAUACAUUGUGAGAAGUAUCAAGUGUUUACAAUAUGUUCAGUGUUACUGAGACUAUUGGUAAAAUCAUUUGUAUCAUAGCAGGUGGAAAUUACAUCUUUGAAAUCUAUUUCUUCAGUUAUUAAUGAAGCUGUUCUUUUCUUUAUUUUUUAGAAUUGAUUUUUCUUCCUCUCUUUGAAAUUUCUAGUUCCUUUUUUAAUUUAGUGAUUGAAGUAGUUUGAAAAACAACCUAAAAAAUAAAAGAUAGCAUUUUCACAAGUCACACUUUUCUCAGUGUUAAUUCUGAACUAAGGUUGAACCCCUGGUAGAUAUUGUUGCAAUAAACCCAGCAAGAAAUCCCUAACAAAAUUGGACUAAGUUUCAAUUUGAAAAGAUCUACUGAAUUUAGGUUUCUGGCAAGCUUUUGCUUUCUUUUCAUGGUGGCACAUAAAAUAAUAUUAUAAUCUGUGAAAUUACCCCCAAAACUUAAGGUGCACUAGAGCAAAUCAUAUUCUCUCAUUAGGAAACUCAGAAUCAUUGAUCCUUGCAGUAGAUUUCUUUCUAGUCUGAAAAUGUGUGUUGUUUUCUUAAGCUGUGAUACAGUCGUUUAAAAAUGCCUUCCUGCGUUCCGGCACCUUCCAGAAGUGCACCAGUGCCCAGUAAAUAAAGUAGCAGCCCGUGUCCCUUUUAGCAAAAGCUAUAUAUCUGUUCAGACUUGUAAUUUGCUCCGUUUAUAUCCUUUGCCCUUGAACUCUGGUUAUUAACGCAAUGUUUCUCCAAAUGAUGCCAUAUAACUCUGCUCCGAGCACAUUCACGGUGACACCACGAAAACAUUCUAAGGGCCAGGGCCAGAGGAGGAAGGAAAAAAAUGUCAGCUGAAUUGUGGGAGUUGCAGUGCAUUACUGAAAAUGGAGCGGCUGUAAAGCUAUGACUGUUAAUAUUCAAAUUGCAACAAGGCCAGAGUCAGACUUUGCUAAUAUUCUGAGGUCUGCUUGGAAAGCAAUUUAGCAAAGUAGCUUUGAUUGAAAAAGAAACAGCCAGAACACUUCUCCCAAGAAAUGAUCUAAAAAUCUAUCAAAGGAUUUAAGGCAGGUGUCCUAAUUACACAUCUUAAAAAAUUGUUUGUAGUGAAUUUCCAAGGUGGGGGUGGAUUUUCUUUCCACUAUAAAAUGCAGAUAAUGUACAUGUUGAAUUAUGGACCAAAUGCCUUUGUGCAAAUUUUAGUGGAAUAUAUCAAAUUUUGUUGUAAAUAGAUUAUAUAACAUGAUAUUUCUUAUGUAAGACAAUUAGACAUUGAUUUUGAGUUUAAUACUGUUUUCAUAAAAAACCUUAUUAAUUAAUAUCAUGCAAAAUUUUGGACAGGGAUUGGGACCAGUCUCCCUGUAGAAUAUCUGAGAAGGGAAUGCACUGAUUAACCAAAUUAAUAAUUUAGGUGAGAAAGAGCACAGAGGGUCUGCACAACCUACUUUGUAACAGAAAUUGUUUUUCCAUGUUUUAGAAAAGGGCAUUUACAAAAGAGUCUCUUUGCUUUGAAAUGAGAAAGUCACAUUUAGAAUAUUAUGCCCAAGAAAGAGCUUGUACAUGUUAGCCUAUUCAAAAUGAUAGUUUCCAAAAAUGUUAUUCCCCCAUAGAUCUUUAACAGAUUCGCUUUAAAGUGAUUAUUACAUCAAAGUAUUUUGUGUUAAUUUCACCUUGACACAAAUAGUUCCUAGCAAUGAGAUUUAAUGUGUACAACUCUUUCUUCAAACCCUAGGCUGAGCAUAAUGCUAUGCAUGUAACAUUGAUGGGAAUAGGAAAAUGAUAGACCAUCAAAUACUGAAUUUCAUGCUGAAAGGUAAGCUACUAUGAAAAUUGUGGGCAUAUGUCUUUAUUCUUAACUCUCUGUUCCUUUAGAAAGAAGAGAAGAAACACUUCUAACCAUGCCAAUUGACUACACUAUCCCCCACUCUAGCAUAAGACAUGCUUUGAGUACAUUAGCAUGUUCAAACACAUGCACAUGCAUAUUGCCAAUAGAAAAUAAACAAGCCAUGGAUGUCCGAGAACACCAAGCUUUCUCAUAUUAAAAUGUUAGCUGUCCUCAGAUGAGUGUUAUUCCCAGAGGAAAAUUAAUUCUAAGUUCCAAGAAUACUUGGGAAAACAUUUGUGUCAUGAAUACAUGCCUGCCUAUUUUAUUCCUAUUUUCCAGUGCACUAUACCUAAAUUAAAGAAGUUUUUUCCACAUUUAAUCAAUGCCACUUAUCUGUGAUCAUAAUUUGAGGAUGCUGUUUGCAUAAGAAAGAUAAAAAAAAUAGAUAAAGUCAUUUUUAAAGAUUUCUAAGAAUGCUAGGUUUUCAUGCUUACUGCUGAGCAAACUCAACCCACCAUCUUAACUAUAUCAUUCAUCUCUGAAUUCCUACAUAAUGAGUGCUUGAUAAAUGAACACCACACCUAUUUGUUGAAAUAAAUACAAAAAUGGAUGUUUUGGGAUGUCUAUAUCAUUUUAAAUCAUUUGAUUGAAGUGUAACCUGAAUUAUGGGCUUAUAACAUAAUGACAUUUUAAUUAAAGUAGAUCUUAUAUUGUGGUUAUUUUUAUUCUUAAAACCUCAAGAUGUUUCUUUUUAUAUAUUUCAUUCACAAAAUGAUGAUCCCAUUGUGCUAGUUACUAAGUUUGAAGACACUGGAUCUUACAUUCUCUUCCAUUAUCACAGGCAAAUAACUGAUAAAUGCACAUGAGACUAAACUAUAUGUAAUUUUAGAUAUGUGUUUUUUCUACAACUGAGAAGUCGUGUUACAUUAUUUGGUAGGAAGAAUAUACUUAUUUUUUGAGAGAGUGAGACCAUAGCUUAUUAAGGAGUCUGAAUGACUUGAACUUGGCUGAUUCUCCAAAGAAGAUACUUUGCGUUGUCUAUCUUGCUCUCCUAAUUAAAUACAUUUUAUAUAUAUUUCAGGUUAAAUGUGGUGUGAUUAUACCAAUCAUAACUUCAAACACUUAUUUUUGAAAUAUUACAAAGAAAAUCCAUCCCUGAUUCUCUCCUCUAGCCUCAUUUCCUAAUCCCAACUACUUUUUGAAAUUUCUACUGUAUUCUUUUAGAUUUAAUUUCCCUAUUCAGAAGUAACAUUGUUAGUUAGUUUUCUCUUUCUCAUUGUUAGUAUUAUUUGCCCUUUACAAAUUAUAUUGACUUUUAAGGUAACAAAAUGAAGAUAUAUCACUUUCUACCAUUACUGUCCCUGUAAUCACAAUGUCUUUAAUUUUUCUGAAUAAAUUUAUAUUGUAAUUUUUGUUAAAUUAAUGCCUACUGUGUAUUGUCGCAAACAAAUCCUAUUGAGAACUGGGAAAGGAAGUUUUUAAUUACUGUUAUCCCUGGAAUUGUUGACAACUCAUUAAUUUGUAGCUCUUUUAUUAGCUUUCCAGAUAGUUAUUGCUAAGUCAUCACCAAACUUCUGCCAAUCUCUGAAUCCCAAAACCUUCAUGUUACUCUACCAAGACUUUCUCCAAAAAAAUCUUUGCAGAGUCUUCUGGUCUACCUCUCUCUAAUCUAAUAGCCCUUGGUGCCUGAGCACAGCUACCUUUGGGGGACUCUUUGUUCAGUCUCUUCCUGCCAUGGGAUGUUUGGGCUGUCUCCUACUUUCUGUAUUUCUUCUUUUUACAUUUCUUAGUUUAAUCUCUCAUCCAUGUGCAGUUCGUCCUCCAGGGACUGGUUCUCUCUGAAGAACUCUGGAAACUUAAUAUGAUCUUCUUGCACACACAGUUUACAGGGAAUCUUGGCAUAGAACUUUAGGAUGGAAACCCUCUUCUUCAUUUUAAAGGAUUUUCUCCAUUUUUAGUGUUGCUACAAAAAAGUCUGAAUCUAUAUUGAUUCUAAUCCUUUAGUGCUAGGUCCACCCAUCUGGAAACUUAUGGCAUAUUCUUUUUCUCUAAGAUGUAUAUUGGUGAGAGUUGGUUUUCAUCCAUUUUUUCUAGGCAUGCGGCAACACAUGUCCUUAAGUUCCAGUCAUUUUCUUGAAUGAAUUCUGUGACAAUUACCUGCUUUUUGUUUUCUGAAUCUUCAAUUAAGUUUUGCAUUUUAUAUAUAAUUCUUAAAGAUUUCCCUGAGUUACUAGUUUUUAUUUUUUCCCCACUCUCAUAGCACCUUGUAUAUUGUCUUCCUUUAUCUCCCUAAGGAUGUUCAUGGUGAUUAUUUGAUAUGUCUUCUCCUCAAAUAGUCUUAUUUCAAACAGUAUUGUUUUUCCUCUGUUUCUUUUAGUCUCUAGUUUUUUAUGCAAAAAGUGUUUUUAAAGUUCCAGGUGAUACUUGGUUAUCUGAUCAUAUCUAAAGGAGGAGAAUUUAAAAAGUGAAGGGUAGAUAGAUCUGGGUAUGUGAACAAAGCUUACACUUAGCUGUAAGGCAAUAUAUCUAGCUGAGCCAUUUCAUUGAUGAAUUCAGUGUUAUUCUUUUUUACUCAUUCUCAGAGAAUCUUCUGGAGGUAAAAGUUCAGUUUUCGGUGCUUUGCUUCCCACUGAAAGAAGACAUUUGUGUGUCUCAGUAUCUACCCUUCUGCUGUGGAGGAAUCCCCAAUUUGAGUUUACUACAUCUCAGGUAAAACAGACAUCCUCUAUUCCCAUGCAGCUUCAAAAGGGAAAGGAGAUCUGGAACUCUGUUGCUUAAGCAAAUUCAAACUAACUUCUUCUUCUUCUUCUUCUUCUUCUUCUUCUUCUUAUUAUUAUUAUUAUUAUUAUUAUUAUUAUUAUUAUUACUAUAACCCCUAUCUUACACUAGCAGGAGUAUGUGAUAAUGUAAAUAUGUACUAGUUAUUGGUCAAGUUAGAAUUCAAAGUUCUCAGAUUCACCAAGUCAGUUAUCACCCAUGUGCUUGCUUUUUCAUUUUCUCUCAGAUUUUUCCCCCACUGCUUCUUGGGAAUGUGAAACCAAAACACAAAAACCUCUUGGUUUUAUUUUAGCAGUUUUAGAUGAUAAUCAUAGGAAAUGUGUAUACUCAUUCCACCAUCUUAAUCCAGAGGAAAAUUUUUUUGCUUGAUUUGUUUCAUUAAAAAAAUAGUUAAUAAAUUUCAUCUAAUCUAUUAAAAUGAAAAAAAAAGUUUUCAAUAGAAGAGUAAUUAUUUUACUUAAGAUUAUAAAGUGCUUUGUAAUUCUUAAAUUUUUUAGUAAAAAUCCUGAUCUACUAUAAUUUAUGAUUUUUUCACCUUCCUAGAAAAGACAGAUGUUGCAUACAACAUGUCCUGUGUUUUCCAGAGAUGACCCCAAUAUUUAUACUGUUUGCAUGUUUUUCUUUUUGAAAUAACGUAUUAUUUUAUUAACUGAUGAAUCCCAUCAUUGGAAUAACUGAGUAAAAAGUGAAAUAGUAAGAGCAGAAUACACAGAAUUGAAGUCUACAUUGACCAACAAAGCAAAAGGUACCACACAUAAAAGAAGAUUAAUUUCUAUUAAUUAGGGUGAAAAUUAAAAUAGGCAAAAUAGCUGAUAGAAGAAUUAUAUUCAACGAUGUAAGAUUUAAUUAAAGCAAGUUAUUCCUAAUUCAACUUGCAUAUACAAACUCUAAUAAACUAAGUGCUAGGCCUUAAAUACAUAAAACAUUAAAAUCUGCUAUGCAGCAUUGAAAUAUUGAGGAAACUAUUCUUCUGAAUCUAUAAUUCUUUGCAUUUCCUUUGAGUAAACCUUCUACUUUACAGUGAUUUAUUGAAUUAACCUCAAUACAUUCUAAUUAACAAGAAAACUGGUAGGUAUCUAAGAACUCUCUAUAAUAUCAUUGCUUUCAAGAAUUGUACAUAGUGGAAUAAAAAUUGAAGUGUAUAUAAAAUAAGAUUUUAAAAAUAUUACCAACUUUAAUAUCAUUCUCAUAAGCUUCACAAGUCCAACACAAUAUAUUUCAGGCCUGUGAAGGUCAAUACAAGAUGACAGAUUGAAAUAUGUUACGUGACUUGCAAAAGUCAUUUUUAGGCAAGCUGUUUCCUAAGACUUAAAUUAAACAUACCUUUCAUCAGACUUUUUAAAAAAUACUAGACUGUGGUUUCAUUUUCCAAGGAAUAUCACUUUUGUCCCUGGUUGUCAAAUGGAUUUUACCAUUGUGAGAAAAAGCUUAAUGGCAAGCAGCAAAUACUGAUUAAGUGCGGGCCCUUUUCCUUAAAGAAAUUAGAAAUUAAAUGCCAACGAUUUUUCUCAUAACUUGUACUUUCUUCCUGAGGUUAUGACUGAGAGAGGGACUUUGUCCUGAUGUUUAUCAACAAAAGAUUUGAGUCAGACAGAGGGGGCUUUGAACCCAUGUCUGACAAUUAUUAGCAAGCUACUUAACCUGCCUGUUGUAACCAGUUACCUCCUAUGUAAAAUGGAGUCUGGUGUUUGUUAGAAUUCAACAAGGCACAGGUCUGGCUCAGAGAGAGCAAAAACGUAACCCAAGAGUCAUUGCUGCUAUUAAUGAUUUUAUCAUUGGUUCCAUGGCUGUUAUCAUUGCUAUUAACUUUUCUGCCAAUUGUCAUUGUAAUUUUGUUACCAUUGGUCUUGUAUACUCAUCAUCUUAGAGAUGAAUAUCCUGAAGUGAAAUUUUUUAAAACCUACAGAAGUUUCUCUAGCAUUUGGUAAAAAAUAAUCACCUGAUGAUUAAUACUUCCAAAGUGAGCAAAUCCUUCUUUAUGAGCUUUUUCUGGAUAAAUUUGAAAGUUUAAAUUUAAAGUUUAGCCCUUACCUUUUGUAGUUGUUGGUUAAUUAGGUUUUCCUUUUUUUUUUUUUUUUCUUUCUAGGAUCUGCCAUUGUUCCUGCUGAGAAGCCAACUAGACCAUGUUGAUGUGGCCAGUCCCUCUGCUGCUGUCUGGGUCCUUGUUAUGUGUCCUGGCAUAGAAGGAGUCAUAAUGAGAUGGAUGAGUUGAUACAAUCAAUCAAUCUUGCCUCUUUCCACCAUACUACUUCAGGCUAGACCCAUGCUUAUGGGGCACUAAGUAAAGGGAAAUUUUGGUUACAUUGUAUUAAAUUUUUCUUUGACUAAUUACUUUUCAGAAUAAAGAUUUUGUUCCUUAC
rnacentral:lncRNA from 1 species